rnacentral:lncRNA from 1 species
UUGGAAAGCAGCCAAACGGGUCAUGCGGUAUUUACAGAGAACAAAAGACUACAUGCUCACAUACAGGAGAUCGGAUCAGUUGGAGAUCAUCGGUUAUUCUGAUUCCGAUUUCGCGGGAUGCCAAGAUAGUAGGAGAUCCACUUCAGGCUAUAUUUACCUGCUUGCUGGAGGUGCUAUUUCAUGGAAGAGUGCUAAGCAGACACUCAUAGCUACUUCCACUAUGGCAGCGGAGUUUAUAGCGUGUUAUGAGGCAUCAAAUCAUGGAAUAUGGCUACGUAAUUUUGUCACUGGGCUGCGCAUUGUGGACAAUAUAGAAAGACCACUUAAGAUAUUUUGUGACAAUAAAUCAGCAGUGCUGUAUUCUAAUAACAACAGGAGCUCGACAAAGUCAAAACACAUAGAGAUCAAGUUCCUUGCUGUUAAAGAAAGAGUUCAGAGUGGACAGGUGUCAAUAGAGCAUAUUGGGACAAACUCCAUGGUUGCGGAUCCGCUUACUAAGGGAUUGAUACCCAAGGUCUUUCAUGAGCACACUGCUCAUAUGGGUGUAAUGUCUCUUGAGGAUAUCUAGUUUCAGUGGGAGUUUGNGGAGAUAUUUAAGUAACCCGGGAAUGGAUCAUUGGAAAGCAGCCAAACGGGUCAUGCGGUAUUUACAGAGAACAAAAGACUACAUGCUCACAUACAGGAGAUCGGAUCAGUUGGAGAUCAUCGGUUAUUCUGAUUCCGAUUUCGCGG